CUACGGGUUGCUGCAGGCGAGAAAACUUUGCAAUGUGCGAAAGCACGACAAGGUUAAUCCGAGUGGUUUCUGCUAAAGGAACCUUUUGUCGGUCCUAGAAACACCGAUGAAUAAGGGGUGGGCAAGUUCUGGUGUCAGCCGCCGCGGUAAAACCAGCACCUCAAGUGGUCAGGAUGAUUAUUGGGCCUAAAGCAUCCGUAGCUUGCUUUGUAAGUUUUCGGUUAAAUCUGUGCGCUUAACGUACAGGCUGCCGGGAAUACUGCAAAGCUAGGGAGUGGGAGAGGUAGACGGUACUCGGUAGGAAGGGGUAAAAUCCUUUGAUCUAUUGAUGACCACCUGUGGCGAAGGCGGUCUACCAGAACACGUCCGACGGUGAGGGAUGAAAGCUGGGGGAGCAAACCGGAUUAGAUACCCCCGUAGUC
rnacentral:rRNA from 1 species